GUAUACAUAGCCCUAGCGCUCCUCUGCCUUUUCUCAAAUCCAUUGAGGUGUUUAUCUGUUAACAGAAGUGUUGGUCAUUGGAGAAUUCAGCAUUCCUGGCUAUUAUGAGGCAUUCUGGAAGGAGUUGGAUGGUGUCAAGCAAAUCUGGAAGAACAGAAAGGAACUCAAAUAGAUUAAUAAUCAUGUAUCGAUGAAUUACAUUCUUUCCUAGAAGUGUCAUAGCCAUUGUAAAUAAUUUAUGUAAACGUUUGUAAAUAAUUUAUGUAUCUCUCUACUAUUUUGGUGAA